UUGGGAACCCAUUUGACCUUCUGAAAAACAAGCUUUUCUUUAGUUAUAAACAUCCAUCUCAGUAAGUAUUGACUUGAAGCUGAAAGAAAAGCCCUAGUUGGCCACGCUGGAAGAAGAGGAUGCUUUUCUGGUUCAUGGUUCUGUUGAAACAUAUCUACCUGAAAGAGACAGGGCUGAUGUUACCUUUUUCCACUUUGCACUACCUGGUGCCAUUCUAAAUUUCUAAGGGGAAAAAUAGGAAGAAAGUUUGUUUACUCUUAAGAUAUUUUAUGAAAUUGUGUGUACUUUCCUAUUUUGCCAAUUAUGUGCCUCAAAGAUUUUAGUUGAGCCUUAGCAAGAAAGUAGGACCUUCCAUUUCAAUACUUCGUUAACACGGUGCAGUGAUACUUUGUCCCUUAGACUGGUGUUUACCAGUAAGAUACCUUUAAUCCACUGUUAAGUAUGAGUGGAUUUGUUUCCAUAGAUUAGCUGGAUUUCCUUUUGCAGAUUGUUUCCCCUGUUUGACUCCACCUUUAAAUCCUAAGCCUGACUAGGACAGCCACAAACCACACAAGGUGUAAAACCAUCAUCAGCUAAGUGCCCGCUUUGUUCUUGUUUACCAGAAUCUCCUUUAACUUCU
rnacentral:sRNA from 1 species